UACAGAGGAGCCAAGCGUUGUCCGGAUUGACUGGGCGUAAAGCGCACGCAGGCGGUUGCGCGCGUGGGGUGUGAAAUCUGGCCGCUUAACGGCCAGGCGCCAUCCCAUACGGCGCGACUGGAGUGAUGCAGAGGUCGAUGGAAUUGCCGGUGUAGUGGUGAAAUGCGUAGAGAUCGGCAGGAACACCCAGGGGGGAAACCAGUCGAACUGGGCAUCUACUGACGCUGAGGUGCGAGAGCGUGGGGAGCAAACAGGG
rnacentral:rRNA from 1 species